GAUGAACGCUAGCGAUAGGCUUAACACAUGCAAGUCGAGGGGUAACGUGUUGGAAGCUUGCUUCCGAUGACGACGACCGGCGGAUGGGUGCGUAACGCGUAUGCAACUUGCCUCACAGUGGAGAAUAACCCGGAGAAAUCCGGACUAAUACUCCAUACACUCUUAAGUACGCCUGUACAUGAGAGGAAAGAUUUAUCGCUGUGAGAUAGGCAUGCGUCCUAUUAGGUAGUUGGUGAGGUAACGGCUCACCAAGCCGACGAUAGGUAGGGGUGCUGAGAGGCAGAUCCCCCAGAUUGGGACUGAGACACGGCCCAAACUCCUACGGGAGGCAGCAGUGAGGAAUAGUGGACAAUGGAGGAAACUCUGAACCAGCCAAGUCGCGUGAAGGAAGAAUGUCCUAAGGAUUGUAAACUUCUUUGGCGAGCGAGUAAGGACUUCCACGUGAUGGGAGUUUGAAAGUAGCUCGAGAAUAAGUAUCGGCUAACUCCGUG
rnacentral:rRNA from 1 species